GUCUGUCUAUAUGCUGUCUUUGCCGGGGAUAGACCAGGAAUGGAGUCUUAGAACUUUUAAUCAUGGUUAAAGACACAAGUUGGAAACCAAAGUAAGAAGACACUUGGAAAGGCUGUUCUUGUCAAACUGUCGGUGCAAUUUAUACACCAAGAGGGAUGUUCUGAGACUGAAUGUGUAAUGGAUUAUAUGCUUGUGAAGGCCUAUAUUUGCACUGAUCCCAGGAACCUAGGUUAAAAUCUGCAGCGAGCAGUCACAUCUGUUAAAUAAAAGCAUGCAAAAACACAGAAAAAUCAUGAAAUGAAGCAGACAAGAGGCUACAGAAAGGAAAUACUGGCUUAGGCUGAAGUCAGACUCUUUAAAAGGCUGAGUCUGUGAGGUGCAGAAGCUGACUGUGUGCAAGAUGAUAAAACCAGCAUCAAAGAUAACAAGGACAAGGGAGCAUACUGAAAUAUGAAGGAUUCUAUCUUUUCUGAAAUUUUACACUGCAAGGGGGCACAGUAUGGGCUUCCUUGCUGCUUGUAAUGAAUGUACACAACACAGGUGGGUUGUAACAUGUCUGUAUUCAAACUCCCUCAGCUUGUAUUUGUGUGAGAACCACUUUCUAUGGUACAUAGUGCAAAGGACAGACAGUAGCAAUGGUAUCUCAGAGUAGCUUCACUAUUGCAUUUUUGAGUUAAUCCUUACCUGACCUGGAAGGGUGAUAUUCAACCACAAAGGUUUUGCUUUGCAAACACAAGCCUAUACAAUGAAAUGCCUUUAAAAUAAGAAUUGCAAGUUGUACAAUUGUUCUGUGCAUCAUAACCAAAAUUUCUCAGGAAAAUUUCUAAUUGUGAGUUCUUUAAUUAUGGGAUAUGUGUCAUGAGCUCUUGCUUCUGAUCUCAGAUGAAAAAUGAAGUAAAUCCUACACCUUAAGAAAAAAGAAAUUCCAAGCAAAAUGGGUAUUUAUUUGUACAGUAGAACCUCAGU